rnacentral:tRNA from 1 species
AGCUCAGUGGUGAGAGUGCCUGUCUUACACACAGAAGGGCAGAGGUUCAAGUCCUCUACCA